UGAGCAUCGGUCGGUUUUCGGUUAAUAAUCGAAAUAACCAAAAAAAUAAUCACCUUCACAUAACCGACUGAAAUAACCGAGUAAAUACUCAUAACCAAA